rnacentral:rRNA from 1 species
UACGGAGGGUGCAAGCGUUAUCCGGAUUCACUGGGUUUAAAGGGUGCGUAGGUGGCAUGGUAAGUCGGAUGUGAAAUCCCGGGGCUCAACCCCGGAACUGCAUUCGAUACUGCUGCGCUAGAGUACUGGAGAGGGGAUUGGAAGUUUACUGGUGUAGCAGUGAAAUGCGUAGAUAUCGUAAGGAAGACCAGUGGCGAAGGCGGAUCUCUGGACAGUUACUGACACUGAGGCACGAAGGCCAGGGGGAGCAAACGGG